AGGAACUCCAUCAUCCACACUUAGUCCCCUUGUUGCUAUCGCCCAGCGCCUUCGCACGCGAAACGUGCGCAGAUACACCUCUUCCAAUAACAUAACACCACAACAGUGGGUGUGUGUCUGUGCCCUUCAUGUCCUCCGAUCCGCAGCUCCGCCUCUCGAUGGCGAACCAGAGCAACGUGCCAAAGGAGUACGUUCGCGCUUUGGAUCCGCAGCUGCUUCCCCCGCGCGUGGGGCACAACUGGAAUGACCAGGCGUUUCGCUUCAAGCAAGGCAAGCCACAGCAGCUGGAGGCGGAGUUCCGCGGCACGCGCGUGUUUCCUGCCACGCGAAACAGCACGUUCCCAGCACCGGCCCCAGACAUGUGCCGCACUGCACAGCAGCUGGUCGAUGCCUUGAUGUCUUCUUCCCUCAACCGCAACGCCGCUACGCGCAAAGCUCGCGCUGCUGCGGAUUGGCGCCACGUGACACUGGAUGACAAGGUGCUGCGCUUCUACGCUUUCUUCAGCGAGCCGGCUCCCGAGGCGGGGGCGGCCUCGUUCUGGCACCGCAGGGUGGUCAUUAGCUUCUUCCCCGUCGACGACACAAUCCUCAUCGAGGAGCCGCGCAUCAUUAACAGCGGUCUUGACGGCGGCGUGUUUCUGAAGCGGCAGAAGGUGGUCGCCGAUCCGCGGCAGCGAGAACAGUUCCCUGGUGAGGAGUACGUGUCCCUCAACUUCUUUAACGUGGGAAACUCGGUGCGGCUCAACGCCACGGACUUCUUCUUGUACGACUGCGACGACUUCACACGUGACUUCCUCACAGCCCUCGGCAUCGAGGUGGGGGCGCCAGUGGAGUGCCCAGACGACCUGUUUAUGUCCGAGUACGGGCGAUAUCAGGAGCGGCUCAAGUCUGGCAAGUUCGGCUUGCUGUCUCAGGACUCUAGCGCAGAUGAGGUGGAGCAUUCCGUCCGCUUCAUCCGGGACGGUGGAAAGAUGCUCCGCUUCUACGCCAUCCUCGACGAGCGUGACAGCGUCCCUGCUGGGAUGGUGCGAAGGCUGGAGGUGAUGUUGUUUGUGGAGGACAACUCCAUUGCUAUUGUGCAGCGGCAGAGCUCUCCAGAGAGCUGCCAAGGCCUGUACCUGUCGCGAUGCUGGCUUCCCAAGAGUGGCUCGGUGGCCAAGGCGAACGAGCUGACGUUUGCACAUCGCGUGAACGGACAGCGCGAGCCGGACAUGGGCAUCCCAGACGCCUACUACCGCGACGUGGAUCUGGACGUCGGCGUGACUCUGAACGUCUUCGGCCGCUCAGUCCUCCUGUACGACUGCGAUGACUACACACGAGAAUUUUUCAUGGAGCGCUACGGCGUUUCUUUGCGGCCGCCUGUGGAUGUGUCGAGCUACUUUCAGGGAGAUGGGCGCCGAACAGUACUCGGGACAGAGGCACCAACGAAGAGCCUCCUUGGAGACGGUGUGAAGAGUGUGGUGGGGAAACCAGCUACCGCCGCGGACGCCGGAGACGCCGACGGAGGCGUCGCCGUCUCCUCGGCCAAUGCCGCCGCAGCGGCGAAAGGCACGCCGACUGACACGCUCCGUUUCCGUGCUGUGCUCGCCCGCCCCGCCAACCAUGACGACGAGCAGCGCCGCUUCACUGUCACUUACUACACCAACUCGGAGGAGUUCAUGGUGUAUGAGAGUGCGUACCCGAAGGCCGGCAUCAACGGUGGCUGCAUGUGGAAGCGAAGGAAGGUGAUGAAGAUUCCGCCGAAGCCUGGCCCACGCAACGCGCCGAAACAACCGGCCGUGCCGGGCGAGGUGCCACACUACACCCUCUCCGAUCUGGGUGAGGGCAAGGAGGUCGUCAUCAACGGUCUACCGCUGCGGCUUUACAGGAUGGAUGCGCACACCGCCACCUUCUACGCCCGCUGCGCCGGUACGCUGCCGGAGGACACUGCUGACGGGCCAGCGAUGGUGACGGAUGCGACGGGGGCGAUGGUGACGGUAGACCAUCUCGUCUCGGAGCUUCGCAGCUACCUUCACUCUCGAUAUGGAACUGGGGUAGCCUCGUUUAUGGCACUCGAUCGCGACCGCGACGGUAUUGUAAGUUUGCCCGAGUUCACGAUGGCGAUGAAGGCGUUCCAGAUUACGGAAGACAGGGGUGCCGCGGCUGCCAUCUUCGCGCAUAUCGCCCCCACACGCGACACAGCGUACUUCACUUCUGUAGACCUGAUGAAGUGGAUAGACGCCGUCGGCGAUGAGCACAGGACGGCAGGCUCUGUGCGAAUUGCCAGCAUGCCAAGCGGCGGCAGGGAGGCCGAGCUGAAGGAGAUUGAGCGGCGUGCGUUGCGCUCAAAGGUGCUGCGGGAGCUGAAGUCCCGCCUGGACGCACGGUGCUGGAAAGGGGCGGACAUGUUUCGCCUGGCGUCCACCAUGCCGCGUGCCUACCGUGGCCGUCGGGCUGACCUGUAUUCUUUCACGAACCCAGACCGCGACACAGUCAUCACUCCAGUGCAGCUGCGCCGCUGCAUCGAGGAGAUACUCACUGGCGCCCCCACCGCCGCGGAGAUGGCGUGUCUCUUAGAAUUCUUCUUUCCUACUCUGCCAGCGGAGGCCUACACUCAAACCCGCGACAACGGCACAACGUACGCCGUUGACUUGAACGAGUUCCAGAAGCGGUACUACGUGAUGACAAAGGAGACGAUGCUGCCGGACGACGAUGCCGCUGCCGCCUCAAGCUCGUCGCGAAGGGGGACAAGAGAGUGAGAGAGAGGAGUGGGCUUGUCUGUCGCUUCGCUUCUCUUCUCCGCACGCGCAUGGCUGGGUUUGGCUCGCUCCCCCUCCUCCCUCUCUCUUUCUCAGUCUCUCCUGCUGUUUGAAUGGAUUGUUUGCAGUGCAGGCGCGAGUGACGCCGUUGAUGCGGGCCACACCCUCCGUCGUUUUCGUUUCCUCUCCGUUCGCCCGGAUUCUCUACUCCUUUUUUUCAGUGGCGGCUGCUGGUUGUCGUUGCCAAUCUUGCCGAGCCGCAUGCGCAUAUGGCAGCGUCGGGAUGUCUCUCUCUCUCUAUCCCUCUGUGCAUCUGUUCACCUCUUUUUUUUUCUCCCUUGAAUGUAAACUACACAGCGGGCCCGUGCUGUGCUCCCCACUCCCCCCUUUCUCUUGCCUCCAGCAGCUUUCCUUUACCCGCAUGCCUUUUUCUGUUCGCUCUCCGUGCCGUGUUUUCAUCUCCUCUGCCACCCGGAACACGGGAAGGACAAAUUGGAAUCGUCAAAAGAUACGUGGCCUCCCCCCUCACGCCGCCACCCCCGCUCCACCUCCCCCUACCGGCCCUCCUCCAUGCAGGGACAUGCAGCAGGCA
rnacentral:misc_RNA from 1 species